rnacentral:rRNA from 1 species
GAUGAGCGCUGGCGGCAUGCUUAACACAUGCAAGUAGGACGGGGAGUGGUGUUUUCAGUGGCGGGCGGGUGAGUAACGCGUGAGAAUCUGCCGUUGGGAGGGGAACAACAGCUGGAAACGGAUGCUAAUAAACCGUAGGCUGUGGAGCAUAAGGAGGGAUCCGCCAGAGGAGGGGCUCGCGACUGACUAGCUAGUUGGUGAGGCAUUAGCUUACCAAGUCGUUGAUCAGUAGCUGGUCAGAGGGGCCAAGCAGCCACACUGGGACUGAGACACGAGCAAGGCUCCUACGGGAAGAGGCGGUAGGGUGUUCUACGAAAGGGGCGAGAGCCAGACGGGGCAUCGCCGCGUGAAGGUAGAAGGCCUGCGAAUCGUGAGCUUCAGAUCCCGAAGAAGAAGCAGUGACGGUAUCUUACGAAAAAGCAUCGGCUAACUCUGUG